UACGAAGGGGGCUAGCGUUGUUCGGAAUCACUGGGCGUAAAGGGCGCGUAGGCGGCUUGAUAAGUCGGGGGUGAAAGCCUGUGGCUCAACCACAGAAUUGCCUUCGAUACUGUCGGGCUUGAGACCGGAAGAGGUAAGUGGAACUGCGAGUGUAGAGGUGAAAUUCGUAGAUAUUCGCAAGAACACCAGUGGCGAAGGCGGCUUACUGGUCCGGUUCUGACGCUGAGGCGCGAAAAGCGU
rnacentral:rRNA from 1 species